rnacentral:rRNA from 1 species
GACGAACGCUGGCGGCGUGCUUAACACAUGCAAGUCGAACGGAAAGGCCCAGCUUGCUGGGUACUCGAGUCGCGAACGGGUGAGUAACACGUGGGUGAUCUGCCCUCAACUUUGGGAUAAGCCUGGGAAACUGGUACUAAUACCGGAUAUGAGCAACUGUCGCAUGGUGGGGGGUGGAAAGCUUUUGGGGUUGGGGAUUGGUACGCGGCGUAUCAGCUUGUGGGUGGGGUAUUGGCAUACCAAGGCGACGGCAGGUACCCGACCUGAGCGGGGGAUCGGCCCCACUAGGACUGAGCCAGGGCCCAGACUCGAACCGUAGGCAGCGGUGGGGAGUAUUACACAAUAGGCGCGAGCCUGAUGCGACGACGCCGCGCGAGGGAUGACGGCAUUGCGGUUGUGAACCACUUUCCCCAGGGACGAGGCGUGAGUGACGGUACCUGGAGAAGAAGCACCGGCCAACUACGUG